UAGAGUUUGAUCCUGGCUCAGGACGAACGCUGGCGGCGUGCUUAACACAUGCAAGUCGAACGGAAAGGCCCUUCGGGGUACUCGAGUGGCGAACGGGUGAGUAACACGUGGGUGAUCUGCCCUGCACUCUGGGAUAAGCCUGGGAAACUGGGUCUAAUACCGGAUAGGACCACACACUUCAUGGUGAGUGGUGCAAAGCUUUUGCGGUGUGGGAUGAGCCCGCGGCCUAUCAGCUUGUUGGUGGGGUAAUGGCCCACCAAGGCGACGACGGGUAGCCGGCCUGAGAGGGUGACCGGCCACACUGGGACUGAGAUACGGCCCAGACUCCUACGGGAGGCAGCAGUGGGGAAUAUUGCACAAUGGGCGCAAGCCUGAUGCAGCGACGCCGCGUGAGGGAUGACGGCCUUCGGGUUGUAAACCUCUUUCAGUAGGGACGAAGCGAAAGUGACGGUACCUACAGAAGAAGGACCGGCCAACUACGUGCCAGCAGCCGCGGUAAUACGUAGGGUCCGAGCGUUGUCCGGAAUUACUGGGCGUAAAGAGCUCGUAGGUGGUUUGUCGCGUUGUUCGUGAAAACUCACAGCUUAACUGUGGGCGUGCGGGCGAUACGGGCAGACUAGAGUACUGCAGGGGAGACUGGAAUUCCUGGUGUAGCGGUGGAAUGCGCAGAUAUCAGGAGGAACACCGGUGGCGAAGGCGGGUCUCUGGGCAGUAACUGACGCUGAGGAGCGAAAGCGUGGGUAGCGAACAGGAUUAGAUACCCUGGUAGUCCACGCCGUAAACGGUGGGUACUAGGUGUGGGUUUCCUUCCUUGGGAUCCGUGCCGUAGCUAACGCAUUAAGUACCCCGCCUGGGGAGUACGGUCGCAAGACUAAAACUCAAAGGAAUUGACGGGGGCCCGCACAAGCGGCGGAGCAUGUGGAUUAAUUCGAUGCAACGCGAAGAACCUUACCUGGGUUUGACAUGCACAGGACGUACCUAGAGAUAGGUAUUCCCUUGUGGCCUGUGUGCAGGUGGUGCAUGGCUGUCGUCAGCUCGUGUCGUGAGAUGUUGGGUUAAGUCCCGCAACGAGCGCAACCCUUGUCCUAUGUUGCCAGCGGGUAAUGCCGGGGACUCGUAGGAGACUGCCGGGGUCAACUCGGAGGAAGGUGGGGAUGACGUCAAGUCAUCAUGCCCCUUAUGUCCAGGGCUUCACACAUGCUACAAUGGCCAGUACAGAGGGCUGCGAAGCCGCAAGGUGGAGCGAAUCCCUUAAAGCUGGUCUCAGUUCGGAUUGGGGUCUGCAACUCGACCCCAUGAAGUCGGAGUCGCUAGUAAUCGCAGAUCAGCAACGCUGCGGUGAAUACGUUCCCGGGCCUUGUACACACCGCCCGUCACGUCAUGAAAGUCGGUAACACCCGAAGCCAGUGGCCUAACCUUUUGGAGGGAGCUGUCGAAGGUGGGAUCGGCGAUUGGGACGAAGUCGUAACAAGGUAGCCGUA
rnacentral:rRNA from 1 species